rnacentral:rRNA from 1 species
UCGCACCUACCGAUUGAAUGGUCCGGUGAAGCCUUGGGAUUGCGGUGAUUCCCUUGAUUGGGAAUUUACUGCAAGAACUUGUCUAAACCUUAUCAUUUAGAGGAAGGUG